ACGGGACACCUGCAUCUGCCAACAAGACUGGAAGCAGAAAGGGACAGAGACGGCGAAGUUUGACGGUCUGGAAAGCAGAGACCAGCAGGGCUGACUGCUUGGGAGCACCAAAUAUCCGGACAGCGCCUCUCGGGAGGUCCGAGAAGAGAACCGCGAUCUGUUUCAGCACCGGGGCUCAGGACAGUUCCCAGCGGGCUCCGUUUCGUCUCCAGAACCCUGGACAGCUCCUCCAGACUUCGGUGAGAAACCUUGUGCCAAGCAUUUUACAUACAUCAUAUCAUGCCAUCUUCAACCCUAGGACAUGGGUGUUACUGUGCCCAUGUGACAUUUGGGGAACCCAAGGCCCUGAGAAAGGCAGAAAAAUAACCCACGCAGGGACUCUCAGCCCACAAGUGAAGCUAACCGGGAAUGGAAAACAGGGAGGCAGCACAGAGGCAGGAAACUCAGGUGUCAUAGCUUGGCUCAGCCUCAGGGCUUUUGCCUCUGCUGUUCCUGCAGCUUGGAAUGCACUCCCUCCACCUCCACCCAGAGCUCCCCACAACUGACCCUGCCUUCUUCUGCAAGCUCCAUUUCAUCAAGGGAAACGAUCCUUAUUGCCUCACCAUUUCCCACGUGAAGUCUGUAUUGACAUUCUCAUAGACCUGGGAUAUUGUGUCUGCAGCACACAGUCCAAUUAUUUUCAUGUUAUCUACUGACAGGUCUAUUUGUCUCCCUGUUACACUGUGAGCUCCGUGAGGGCAGAAACAAUGUUAGUAUUUUCACUGCUGUGUCCCCAGCGCCUGGUCCGGGGCCCGGCACACAGCAGGCAUAUAAUAAGCAUGUGUUGAAUCAAUAAAGGCAUCAAAGAAUAAACCAAUACAUCAAUCAAUAAA
rnacentral:sRNA from 1 species